rnacentral:rRNA from 1 species
AACGAACGUUGGCGGCGUGGAUUAGGCAUGCAAGUCGUACGCGAAAGAGGGGGCAACUCCUCGAGUAAAGUAGGCGAACGGGUGAGUAACGCGUAGGAAACCUGCCUUCGAGAGUGGGGAUAACACUCCUAACGGGUGGCUAAUACCGAAUGACACUGCGGGAUCGCAUGGUUCGUGCAGCCAAAGGUGGCCUCUGCUUGCAAGCUACCACUCAAAGACGGUCCUGCGUCCC